GGCAGAGAGAGAAUCCCAAGCAGGCUCCUCGCUCAGUGGGGUGCUGGAUGCCGGGCUCGAUCUCACAAACCGUGAGAUCAUGACCUGAGCCGGAAUCAAGAGUCAGACACCUAACCCACUGAACCACCCAGGGGCCCCUCUUGUGACUUUUCUUAACCAAUAGGCUUGGAGUGCCUGAGAUUUUUUUUUUUCGUUAAAAAAUAUUUAGUUUUGAUUUAUACCCCUACGCCAUUUCCAAAAGGAUUCAAGACUGCAACCCAUUAAGGCUGGAUGCGUUUGCUGAGUGAAUACAGGCACGAGUACCUGAAUGAACAGAUGAAUGGGUGAUUUCCAGGGCUUUUCCGUCA
rnacentral:lncRNA from 1 species